CUCAAGAAAGGACAACUGAAACACAAGGACUGUAUUCAUGUGGGUAAACAAGAUAUCAAGACACACCUGGGAAACAAUCUAGAACAAGGACCAACGAACUACAGACAUGGAUGACAUUAAAGAACUUCAAAUAAAGAGUACAAGACAGGGGAAACGCAAGACACAACAGUGACACCGUGCAAUCUUUAGCAUCAGUCAGAUCGUUUGUAACCUCUAAUCUUCUCCCUACUUUUAUAAUGACAAUAUAAAAGCAUGCAUACAUAAAUUGUCUCUCUUCAUCAGGAGCCGCGCUCCUAAUUUCACCGUAUGCAGGAAAACACUAUGACAUUCAAUUCAAUAAUGGCAAGCAAUAAUCAAGGUAUGUUUAAGCAAACUACUGGUGGUGGUGGUGUAUUUAACCAUGCUAAAUCAUGGCCCUUGCCAUUUAUAUCAUUCCUCACUCUGGCAUAACGUUGCUUUCUGUGGCCUUCGCGGCCUCUCUGCUAUCAAGCCUAACGUGGCAUCCUUCUACGGAUAUCCUCUACUGCUGAUAUUAUGAUUGACAUUUACGGACACGUUAAUGGAACCUCAAAGAAACACUGGUGGGUACCGAUCAUUGCGAUCAAUUUUUGGGGAUUAGAUUCUGGCCCGUCUUCAUCUUCAGACAGGAACCGCAAGAAUCCGUGACCCCCGGAUUUGAACUAUGGUCGGGGCCUACGCCAAAGAACUAUACUGUGUUACAUUCUAACCUUGGUUGCUAACUACUGUUAAAUAAACUCAUAUGUCAAGUCUUAACCUAUCUUCGAGUCUUUCUGGUAGAAAUGGUAGCUUUAGCGUAGCGUAGCGUAAGUUCUACCAGGAAACUCGAAUGUUACGUCAUUCAUGUCACAAGGCGCAAUCAAUCACCCCUGAUACUGAGAGUAUAUAAGCCUCGUACUCACCUGUCUUUGCGUUCGCAGAUACUGAUGCCAGCAUUAACAACCCACCCUCCCUACCACCAUCACCAGGUCGGUUCCGUCCAUACUCAAGGGGGAUUAGAUUCUGGCCCGUCUUCAUCUUCAGACAGGAACCGCAAGAAUCCGUGACCCCCGGAUUUGAACUAUGGUCGGGGCCUACGCCAAAGAACUAUACUGUGUUACAUUCUAACCUUGGUUGCUAACUACUGUUAAAUAAACUCAUAUGUCAAGUCUUAACCUA